rnacentral:rRNA from 1 species
UACGUAGGCAGCAAACGUUGUUCCGGAAUUACUGGGCGUAAAGAGUGUGUAGGCGGUUUUGUUAGUUUGGUGUGAAAUCUCCCGGCUUAACUGGGGGGGUGCGCCGAAUACUGCAAAGCUUGAGUACUGGAGAGGAUAGCGGAAUUCCUGGUGUAGCGGUGAAAUGCGUAGAUAUCGUAAGGAAGACCAGUGGCGAAGGCGGGUCUCUGGACAGUUCCUGACGCUGAGGCGCGAAGGCCAGGGGAGCAAACGGG